GACGAACGCUGGCGGCGUGCUUAACACAUGCAAGUCGAGCGAGUGGAUUCCCUUCGGGGAUGAAGCUAGCGGCGGACGGGUGAGUAACACGUGGGCAACCUGCCUUAUAGAGGGGGAUAGCCUUCCGAAAGGAAGAUUAAUACCGCAUAACAUCAGAUAUCGCAUGGUAGACUGAUCAAAGGAGCAAUCCGCUAUAAGAUGGGCCCGCGUCGCAUUAGCUAGUUGGUGAGGUAACGGCUCACCAAGGCGACGAUGCGUAGCCGACCUGAGAGGGUGAUCGGCCACAUUGGGACUGAGACACGGCCCAGACUCCUACGGGAGGCAGCAGUGGGGAAUAUUGCACAAUGGGGGAAACCCUGAUGCAGCAACGCCGCGUGAGUGAUGAAGGCCUUCGGGUUGUAAAGCUCUUUGAUCAGGGACGAUAAUGACGGUACCUGAAGAACAAGCCACGGCUAACUACGUGCCAGCAGCCGCCGUAAAAC
rnacentral:rRNA from 1 species